AGUGAACGCUGGCGGUAGGCCUAACACAUGCAAGUCGAACGGCAGCACAGUAAGAGCUUGCUCUUACGGGUGGCGAGUGGCGGACGGGUGAGGAAUACAUCGGAAUCUACUUUUUCGUGGGGGAUAACGUAGGGAAACUUACGCUAAUACCGCAUACGACCUACGGGUGAAAGCAGGGGAUCUUCGGACCUUGCGUGAUUGAAUGAGACGAUGUCGGAUUAGCUAGUUGGCGGGGUAAAGGCCCACCAAGGCGACGAUCCGUAGCUGGUCUGAGAGGAUGAUCAGCCACACUGGAACUGAGACACGGUCCAGACUCCUACGGGAGGCAGCAGUGGGGAAUAUUGGGCAAUGGGCGCAAGCCUGAUCCAGCCAUACCGCGUGGGUGAAGAAGGCCUUCGGGUUGUAAAGCCCUUUUGUUGGGAAAGAAAAGCAGCAGGUUAAUACCCCGCUGUUCUGACGGUACCCAAAGAAUAAGCACCGGCUAACUUCGUG
rnacentral:rRNA from 1 species